UAAAAGUCAUAAAGAUAACUUUUGAAUUAGAAGUGCGCAUAUUUUAUGGCAGUUUUCUGGGAGGAAAUGCACAAUCAAAGCUUAUGCGCAUACCACGCAAUAUUUCUGGCGUGGGGGGUGCAUUGAAAGCUGAUGAAUCCUGCCAAACUUUCCACGAUAUCAGUUUAGGUGAUGUUAUUUAAGAUUCAUAAAUUGUAAUAAAUAUAAGACACGCAAUCCUGAUCGAUGCCUCGUGUAGUUUCAAAGUUUCUUAGCAGCAAUUACCGAUGGUAAUAAUCUUUGUCCAAGGAGUGAGAUUUACACAAUUUACGAUGUCACGUGAGUGUAGGAGAAGGCGUUGAGCAGCAGAUUUAAUUCUGAGUUGAUGGCUACUGAUGUUCAGCUUUGUAGUUCUUUCGUUUAAACCUAACCUAGAUAACAAGGGAACUCCAGGAUUAAGCACGGGACCAACCCACCUUUCAGAUGAAACUAACCCACAUUUUUAAUACAUGAAGUGUAAGGUCUCCCGGUUAGUCUGAUGGCAAGAGAAUUCUAACUCAUGAUCUGUCUACCACUGAAGAUAUUUUACGUCAGCACUGUGGUCGGUGCGAUCCGGGAGCAGAAUUCGUAUUAACCAGCGACUACUGGGAAUCGAACCUACACCUCAUUGAGAGGUGAACGCUCUCUACCUUAAGCCACCAUGGCUUAGUAUGCAUAAUAUAUAGCCUAUGUAAUAUUUUGAUAAUUAUUAUUUUAUUAUAAGUCGACGGUAUUUGUGAUUCUAUGGAACAUGUUCGUAAGUGCCACACAAGAUAAAUAAUAUUAUCGAAUGUUUUAAUCAUC